UGCUUGGGAAUAUGCCUUUAGGUGGGGACAAACAGUUGGAACGACUGCUAAUACCGCAUAAUGUCUACGGACCAAAGGAGGGGAGUCUUCGGACCUCUCGCCAUUUGAUUAGCCCAAGUGAGAUUAGCUAGUUGGUAAGGUAAGAGCUUACCAAGGCGACGAUCUCUAGCUGGUUUGAGAGGAUGAUCAGCCACACUGGGACUGAGACACGGCCCAGACUCCUACGGGAGGCAGCAGUGGGGAAUAUUGCACAAUGGGGGAAACCCUGAUGCAGCCAUGCCGCGUGUGUGAAGAAGGCCU
rnacentral:rRNA from 1 species